UAGAGAUUCUUCAUAAAUAAAAUAAUUAAACAAAUAAUUAUUGCACGGCCGCAUAUAGCACGAGUUUUUUAUCGAUUAUUUUGUAUCGAUACUUUUACAUUUUUACAUUCACGCACUGAAUCGAUAAAUUGAUUAACGAUUAUAACGAUUAUGACGAUCGCGAUUAUUCACAAUGUAUUACUACCAAUUCACUUAAUCACUUGAAAAAACGCGUUAUACGUGUACGUAUUAUUUAACACGGAGAGCGCGCGACGACACAAGCAGAUUAUUUCGAUACUAGAGGUGUUUGCAAUCGGCGGCGGGCAGCGCUAGUAUCGACAUAACUUGCUUGUUGUCGUCGCGCUCUCUCCGUAUCAAAUAAUACGUAUAACGCGUUUUUUCAAGUGAUUAAGUGAAUCGGUAGUGAUCUAUUGUGAAUAAACGCGAUCGUUAAUCAAUUUAUCGAUUCAGUGCGUGAAUAUAAAAGUGUAAAAGUAUCGAUACAAAAUAAUCGAUAAAAAACUCGCGUUAUCCGCGACCGUGCAGCAAUUAUUUGUUUAAUUAUUUUAUUUACGAAGAAUCUUUACAAGGUUUACUGAUUUACUAGAACUCGACGAAAUCAAGAUCGAUGCAAUCAAGAUUGAAGGAACUCUUCAGGAAGCAGAUGCUUUGUUUAUGGAAACAUCUAUGAACGCUGCCAAUAAAAUUAACAACAUAGAAAGUAAUAAGAAAAAUAAGGACAUUGGAACUCCAUCAUAUGAUCAUUAUGCGUGCACUAUUUGUACCUUUCCGUGCCAAACGAAAGGGAGUUUAAUAAGACACUUGAAACUUCACGAGCAUACAUGUAGCAUCUGCAAUGGCAUGUUUGAAUCAUCAAAAAAGCUACAGAGUCACAUGGCCAUAAAUCAUGGCGAGGCCAAAUACUUGUGUAAACUGUGCAACACCAUUUUUUGGACUAAGCCGGACUUGAGAAAACACUUUACUACAAAGCACUUGGAUCCUUUUUGCAACACCUGCAUUGCUUGUAAUCAGGAAUUUCAAACAAUGUACGCUAUUACGAGACAUAUGCAUAGCUCCCACAGUAGUGUCUCUGUAGCAUGCACUAUCUGCAAAUGCGAAUUUGGUGGUUUUUCAGCAUUGAAAUCGCACAAUAAACACGUUCAUUUGAAAUCGGGUUUCCAGUGUGGCAUAUGCGGGAGACGAGAUAUCUUCAAUGUGGUUGAUUUAGAAACACAUUUACGCCGACACAGAGACAAACAACGAGUAUCAAGCCUGCAUGUUUGUACAACGUGCGGACAGUGUUUCAAUAAGAAACCUCAUUUGUCGGCACACAUAAUCAAAUGUCACGGGAAAACUAAUCCUUACGUAUGUCCGAUUUGUAAAAAGAGUUUCGGAAAACGUUCGAAUCAAAUACAACAUAUUCUGACGCACAUGCAUAAUGUAUAUGCUUGCGACAUCUGCGGAGCGAAAUUUCCGCGAAGAUCUUCUUUGAUAUGUCAUAGAAAAAUGCAUCCUGGACCGCUUGGGCCAUUACCGAUUAUACCUGUGACAGGCAUUGUAAGCAAGUUUGUUAGAGAUUAUUUGAGCAGUAAUAAGAGUUUAUCAGAUCCUCAAUCGUGAAUUUGAUGAUAAAGUCUAAAAAAUUAGUGAAUAAUUUAUUUUAUCUGCUCUUUCUUUAGAAAAUAGGAUUUUUAUAAAGAUAGAUUGUUUUUCAGUAAAGUAAUUUUUCUAUAAGCGUUUUUAAUUACGCAGUCGCAACUUGCAGUUAUAAAAUAAGAGAUUUAUUGUUCUCCCUUGUGUAUACUUUAAUACUGCGAUUUGAUUAUAUUACGAUUAUAAUACGAUUAUACUUUCCAUUAAUGAUGUUAUAAUAUAAAUAUAUGUUUUAUUUCUAACGAAGAAAAAUGAUUUAACUCAUGUACAGAAAAUGUAUUUAAAAUAUAUUAAUGAAGAUAAUUAAUCAAGAUUACGUUUUCCAAAUCCUUCGAUUAAUCUAUACCUCAAUAAUUACACAUUGAUUUUUGUAGAGAAUUUAUUUGUUCUUGCCGCGUCAGGUAAGUUACCAUUUGCCAUUCGCAGAAUUAAUGAUGAUACUAAUCCCUGCUCUGUUUUAGAUGGCCAAAAAAUUUUGCUUUACAUUGCGAUAAGCAACGCUUUAAUCAAUAUAUAAAGUUGGUGUCUUUUGUAAAUAGCUACAGACUUCUAAUCACACUCAGUUAAGAAGAGCGGCAGAUCCAUUAAACGUUGAAUCCA